GAGAAAAAUGGAAAUACUAAUUAGGGUACUUAUUAUCACAUCUACCGCAUUUAAGCUUUUUAAUCUUUGUUCAUCAUAUACAAUAUGCAUCACCAAAUUUAUUUUUAUACUUGACUAUGCAUUUACGGAAAUUAUUAAUGGCCGUGCAUUUGUGUUGAUCGGUGCUAAACUUGGGACUUCAUUAUUUUUGUUUGUUUUAGUUUUGAUGCUGCAACUCUAUCGACGAGGAGCAAAAAUUUAGAAUUUUCAUAAUUGUAGCUUUAAAAUGAACGUGUCGUUGAAAAGAUUAAAGUGGCAAGCAGCAGGCUAUUGUGCACAAACUUGCGUCGGAAAGUACUCCCCGCGAAAACACGACUUCCCUUUCGUUUCCCGAUUAUCUGGCAUUUCAUUCGUGUGCAAGAGAACAUAAUUAUCAACGAAGGAUCCUCGAAAGCUCAGCUAUCACCGGAAACAACCAAGAGGACUCCAGGAGGAUAACAACUUCACCUAGUUGGGACAGCAGCAGGUGCAGCAGUUUGUGCACUAUCCAAGCGUUUUCAUAGUUGCUUUCAAUUAGUGAUAAAAUGUAACCCUAAAGAAAUUGCAUGAUGAAAUAAAUUAAUAUUUAUCAUUUUGUUUCAUUCAA